CUUCCAAGCCAGUUUGUCUGACA
rnacentral:piRNA from 1 species